CCUACGGGAGGCAGCAGUGGGGAAUAUUGCGCAAUGGACGAAAGUCUGACGCAGCGACGCCGCGUGAGGGAUGAAGGUUUUCGGAUCGUAAACCUCUGUCAGGAGGGAAGAAAGCGCAUGGCGCCAAUCAGCCAUGCGUUGACGGUACCUCCAAAGGAAGCGCCGGCUAACUCCGGGCCAGCAGCCGCGGUAAUACGGAGGGCGCGAGCGGUAAGCGGAAUUACUGGGCGGAAAGCGCGCGUAGGCUGUUGUGUCAGUUGGGGGUGAAAUCCCACGGCUCAACCGUGGAACAGCCCUUGAUACUUCGCGACUUGACUCCGGGAGAGGGUGGCGGAAUUCCCGUUGUAGGCG
rnacentral:rRNA from 1 species